rnacentral:rRNA from 1 species
UACGAAGGUCCCAAGCGUUAUCCGGAUUUAUUGGGUUUAAAGGGUGCGUAGGCGGGUUAUUAAGUCAGUGGUGAAAGCCUUCAGCUUAACUGAAGAAUUGCCAUUGAUACUGAUGAUCUUGAGUAUGAUUGAGGUUGGCGGAAUGUGUCAUGUAGCGGUGAAAUGCUUAGAUAUGACACAGAGCACCGAUUGCGAAGGCAGCUAACUAAGCCAUAACUGACGCUGAUGCACGAAAGCGUGGGGAGCAAACAGG